AAGACUAGAAUGUGGUGUCGAGGGUUUCAAUGGUGAACUCUCUGGAGUCUCAAUCUCCAUCGAAAUGAAAUUGAAGAGACAAGUCGGGUUGUGUUUUCGCUGUUUAUCUUUUCGUCAAGGAGACGGCAUGGGGAGAGCGUAUUAUUAAUAAAUCUGAUCGGGCAAGUGUGGGCAUCUAGGAUUCCGUGGAUCUCAUUUGAAGAAUGCUGUUGCUUCUUCAACGAAAUUCAUCCAUCAAUUUUCCCAUCCGAAGAUACUUGCAUUCUCAAUAAGGAAAAAGAAGUUGCAUAGGAGAUUAGCGGUUCAGGCACGGUACAAAUGAGGAGAUCUCUUCUCAAUGAAGAUGACUACGGGUUCUGGAAGGCCAGGGGACCCACAUAUUAUGACGAAGGCUUGGAAGUAAGUUAGCAAACUCCGUCUACAUAUAGUAGGUUUAGAUCACACAAGGACACAAAGACGCUGUGGAUAUGUUAGUGUGGUCUAUUUGGUUCUACAGGACCUGGAUUGUGCAUGUCUGUUUGCAUAGUCCCGUUGCUUGUACAGAUUUGAACAAUGACAUGAGAUUUCUCUAACUAGAUUUUAUGUUGAACAUUGAUGGGAUUAAAAUCUGCAUCAAUCUGAUAACAGUAUUGUUUCGUUAGUACAGUGACCCAAAUCUUGGGUGCACUUUUGUCCUGCUUAAACUAGUUUAUGGCACCUUGAGAAAUUUGGUUCUGCUUCUGACCUAGAGCUUAGCCGAUCAAAGCUGUUG